AUUGAACGCUGGCGGCAUGCUUUACACAUGCAAGUCGAACGGUAACAGGCCGCAAGGUGCUGACGAGUGGCGAACGGGUGAGUAAUGCAUCGGAACGUGCCCAGUCGUGGGGGAUAACGCAGCGAAAGCUGUGCUAAUACCGCAUACGAUCUAUGGAUGAAAGCGGGGGACCGUAAGGCCUCGCGCGAUUGGAGCGGCCGAUGUCAGAUUAGGUAGUUGGUGGGGUAAAGGCCUACCAAGCCGACGAUCUGUAGCUGGUCUGAGAGGACGACCAGCCACACUGGGACUGAGACACGGCCCAGACUCCUACGGGAGGCAGCAGUGGGGAAUUUUGGACAAUGGGCGCAAGCCUGAUCCAGCAAUGCCGCGUGCAGGAAGAAGGCCUUCGGGUUGUAAACUGCUUUUGUACGGAACGAAACGGUCUGGGUUAAUACCCUGGGAGGAUGACGGUACCUGAAGAAUAAGCACCGGCUAACUACGUGCCAGCCGCCGCCGUAACAC
rnacentral:rRNA from 1 species